AGGGCCGGUCCUGGGCUGAGGCGAGUGAGGCCCGCGCCUCAGGCCCAGGACCAUAGGGGGCCUCGUUUUGGUCCAAUUAAUUUUUUUUUAAAGAAAAAAAAAGACCAGUUUAAAUUGAAAAACGAGAUCAUAUACAGCAGCCCCAUUCCCCAAGCCCUAACUCAAAAUAGCUUCAAAGUUCAACCCGCUGGAUCUUCAAUCUUGGCCUCUGGUUCACCGUUCAGGCAUUCACGAAGUGGUGCAAAUAAAUCUUCUGAUAAAUCUCGAGCAAAUCCAACGGAGGUGAGUCAGGUGACUGCCGACUAGGGUGAUUCCUGGCACAAGGUUCGCUCUCUUACUUUAACCUGUGCGGCUGUGCUACUGCUACCUUCUCAGUUUCUUGCCAGCAGUUUGAAACUUCGAAUGUUUUGGGAUUUGUGAAUAAGUUGUAUGAUUUUUCAUUUGUGAUUCUUGCCUGCUACCUUCUCAGUUUCUUGCCAGUAGUUUGAAACUUCGAAUGUUUUGGGAUUUGUGAAUAAGUUGUAUGAUUUUUCAUCUUCAUCGGAUUUUAAUUUCACAGAUAGCACAGGUGAAUUGGGCUGGGAAAAUAAAUAAGGCAGAACUUUUCUGGCUUUUUUUAUGUCUCUGCUUUCCUUUGUGGUUCGGUUCAUUCAUUUGAGGGACAAUUGAAAGUCAAACAAAUUUGCUCUAGCCUCUAUGCAUGGUCGUGUCAUGAGCAAGUGUCUUUUAAAAUUCAAAAUUCUAGAAAUUUUCUGUCAACCAAUUAUAUAUAAGAGGCAUAAGUGAUAAUAUUAUCAAUUUAAUAGCAUAGUGUAUGCAUAUAAUCAUUAGCCACAAUUAAUUUGUUUGUAUAUUAUUCUAGCGCACAAAUCCAAAGUCGAACCUCUUUUUUUCCGAAGUCGGACCUCUUUGGGUUUUCCUUUUUUUUAUUACAAUUUCUUUCUUUGCCCUGUCCUAUUAUUUUAUUUAAACAAAUAGAUCAUACAUGAUGAAGGAUCUGUUAAAAGGUAAUUGUUGGGAAGGUGCAAUAAGGAUUUUAAAAAUGAUAUAUCUUGAUUACUGAAAGAACAGAAAACAUACAUAAAGAGCUUGCCAUCUUCUGUAAAGAAGCUGUUGCAAUAAUACAUAAAGAGCUUGCCAUCUUCUGUAAAGUAAUAUGCUGCAUGGUAGAGUUUAUAUAUGUAAAUAGAGAGUUAGUCCCCAACUUUUGAAAUAGAACAUUUUGGCCCUCAAUAUUCCAUUAAUAUUGCAAAAUUAUUUUUAGUUGAUAGAAACGGUGCUUAACCCGAAGUGGCUCUGCCACCAUAUUUCAUUAAACAAAUUAACUUUUUAGCAAGUUUGUAAGGAUUGUAAUUUUGAAUGUGAUGGUUAUAAGAGUCUUAUGUAUUCAAACGUCAAAUAUUAACUAAUUAUCGAGAACAACUAACUAAAACCGAACAAUAAAAUCAAGGUUUGCUACUCUUAAAUAUUCUUAAUUCCCUCAUCACUAGAUCUUAGGCUUGGCAAUCUUAGACAUCAUAUAUAAUUUUAUAUAAAUUUUUGUUUCAGGCUUGUGAGUUGUGACGAGAUCAUACUCAACGGUGUAAUUCCACAAUUAUCGUCAAAAUUUCACUUCUCAGGUAAGCAAUGGCUU
rnacentral:lncRNA from 1 species